GCAUUGGUGGUUCAGUGCUAGAAUUCUUGUCUGCCAUGUGGGAGAUCCGGGUUUGAUUCCCUGCCAAUGCG
rnacentral:tRNA from 1 species